rnacentral:rRNA from 1 species
UACGAAGGGGGCUAGCGUUGCUCGGAAUCACUGGGCGUAAAGCGCACGUAGGCGGCUUGUUAAGUCAGGGGUGAAAUCCUGGAGCUCAACUCCAGAACUGCCUUUGAUACUGGCGAUCUUGAGUCCGGGAGAGGUGAGUGGAACUGCGAGUGUAGAGGUGAAAUUCGUAGAUAUUCGCAAGAACACCAGUGGCGAAGGCGGCUCACUGGCCCGGUACUGACGCUGAGGCACGAAAGCGUGGGGAGCAAACAGG